rnacentral:rRNA from 1 species
UACGUAGGGGGCUAGCGUUGUCCGGAAUUAUUGGGAGUAAAGGGCUCGUAGGCGGUUUGUCGCGUCGGGAGUGAAAUCCACUGGCUUAACUGGUGGCUUGCUUUCGAUACGGGCAGACUGGAGGUAUGCAGGGGAGAACGGAAUUCCUGGUGUAGCGGUGAAAUGCGCAGAUAUCAGGAGGAACACCGGUGGCGAAGGCGGUUCUCUGGGCAUGUCCUGACGCUGAGGAGCGAAAGUGUGGGGAGCGAACAGG